GAUGAAGAACGUAGCGAAAUGCGAUAAGUAAUGUGAAUUGCAGAAUUCAGUGAAUCAUCGAAUCUUUGAACGCACAUUGCGCCCCCUGGUAUUCCGGGGGGCAUGCCUGUCCGAGCGUCAUUACAACCCUCAAGCUCAGCUUGGUGUUGGGCCCCGCCGCCCCGGCGAGCCCUAAAGUCAGUGGCGGUGCCGUCCGGCUCCGAGCGUAGUAAUUCUUCUCGCUCUGGAGGUCCGGUCGUGUGCUCGCCAGCAACCCCCAAUUUUUUUCAGGUUGACCUCGGAUCAGGUAGGGAUACCCGCUGAACUUAAGCAUAUCAAUAAGCGGAGGA
rnacentral:misc_RNA from 1 species